UGGGGAAUCUUCCGCAAUGGACGAAAGUCUGACGGAGCAACGCCGCGUGAGUGAUGACGGCCUUCGGGUUGUAAAGCUCUGUUAAUCGGGACGAAAGGCCUUCUUGCGAAUAGUGAGAAGGAUUGACGGUACCGGAAUAGAAAGCCACGGCUAACUACGUGCCAGCAGCCGCGGUAAUACGUAGGUGGCAAGCGUUGUCCGGAAUUAUUGGGCGUAAAGCGCGCGCAGGCGGAUAGGUCAGUCUGUCUUAAAAGUUCGGGGCUUAACCCCGUGAUGGGAUGGAAACUGCCAAUCUAGAGUAUCGGAGAGGAAAGUGGAAUUCCUAGUGUAGCGGUGAAAUGCGUAGAUAUUAGGAAGAACACCAGUGGCGAAGGCGACUUUCUGGACGAAAACUGACGCUGAGGCGCGAAAGCCAGGGGAGCGAACGG
rnacentral:rRNA from 1 species